rnacentral:rRNA from 1 species
GCAUGGCUGUCGUCAGCUCGUGUCGUGAGAUGUUCGGUUAAGUCCGCUAACGAGCGCAACCCUCACUGUGUGUUAUAUGUGUCACACGGGACUGCCGGUUUUAAGCCGGAGGAAGGUGGGAUGACGUCAAGUCAGCAUGGCCUUUAUAUCCUGGGCUACACACACGCUACAAUGGUCGGUACAAUAGGUUGCCAAGCCGCGAGGCGGAGCCAAUCCGACAAAGCCGGCCUCAGUUCAGAUUGUAGGCUGCAACUCGCCUGCAUGAAGAUGGAGUUGCUAGUAACCGCAGGUCAGCAAUACUGCGGUGAAUACGUUCCCGGGUCUU